rnacentral:tRNA from 2 species
GCGCGGGUGGUGGAAUUGGUAGACACGCAGGUCUCAGAAGCCUGUGGGAGAAAUCCUGUGGGGGUUCAAGUCCCCCCUCGCGCACCA